CUCACGAUCGACUUAUGUGGUUCGUGGAUAAGGCCAGAGCCAAUCAGUAAUGCUACAAUGCAACUGCUGAUGGAGUUCAAGAACAAAACGGUGAACUGCCCUCCAAGAAUAGUUCCCUCAUAAUGUUACUAGUAAUUUCGAUUAAAGGAGAACAUCGUUCGAAAGAAUCAGACGAUCCAGGUCAUUUAAUGAGUCAUGUCACAUAAAACGAAAUAAAACAACAUUUUUCAAUA